CCUGCAGAGUGCAGAGGGUGGGGAAGGAUAAGGAUGCAGCUGAUGCCCCCUUGAAAGGAGGCACAGACAUCCGCAACAGCAAGCGGGUUGGAACUUAAUAUUCAAACAGAAAGGCAGCAGGGCACUUAGAAUGCCUCCCCGAACUCCACCCCUAAUCCCCUGUCGAUAUUUGAACUCUACUGUAUUCCACUCAUCUCCAGCCUCACUGUCAACUUUUAAUCUUGGCCACAAUGAAGUAAGACCAGUAGGAAAUUUAUAAAGACUCUCACACAAACUGUAGCAGAACUUAGACACUCAACAGGGCACUGCUCCAGAGGGAGGAGGGAAUGGGGGGUGGAGAGGCACCAUGAGCACUUAUUUACUAAACACCUUCUCAUUGUCCCAGGGAGAAUCAGCAGGACCUCUGAGCAAGGUGCCCCGAGAAAGUGAAAGGAAUGAUGACCUCUUAAGAAAUGUUUUAUUCCCUUCCUGACGAAAUGUGGGGAAGGAGCAGUCUGCCUUUCUGGGUUCCUUCCCUUUACUCACUAACCACUGGCUCUGUCACACCUCCAGGCUUCGCUGAGGCAGUCCACUCCAACUGGAGCCCCUGCCCAACCUCCUUGUCACCCUCGGUUCCUGUGGGACACGCCUCCCCUGGCUCCCAGGCAAUACGGUCACUGCCCCUCCCACCCAGGACCCUGCCCUCCGGGACAGCUCCGGGACAGCACCGGGCCAGCCUCUUGCUUGAACUCGCCACUUGUCCUGACUGCAGUUCUGAGGGGUAAAGUUGGUUGGAUCCAUGGAUGUGAAACCUGGGGAUAGGAAAGGCAUACUGUAUCCCCUGCCUUGUAGCAGCUCACAAUAUAAUGGGGAAUGGUUCCCUGCCAGCGAACAUGCUGUGUUUCGUUCAAUCAUUCAAAACAUUUGAGUGUCCACUGUGUGCCAGACGUGCUGGUCCCUCUGCUGUGCACAUCAUCCUCCUUGGUGUGAUGCUCCUUCGAGGCUCAGUUCAGAUGCUACUUCUCUGCUUGGCUUUUCCAGACUGCAUGAUACCCAGGCUGCCUGGCUGGGUCUUCCCAUGUAUUCCACCCCUGACCUGUACUGCCCCUGUUGCCAAGCUAUUUAUCAAAUUAUGUGAUUAAUAUCUGGGUAUUUUCUUACACUGGACCUCACUCAUAAGGGCAGGAGCUCUGUCCCGUUCACACACGAUCCUUCCCCGCCACGGCACUGCCCAGCACACAUAUGCUAGCAAAAAUUAUUUGACUGAAUAAAUCAGUGGUUUUCCAAGGAA